ensembl:rRNA 5S_rRNA 5S ribosomal RNA
UCUGACCUCGAAAGCAAAGUUGGGCCUGGUUAGAACUUGGUUGGGAGACUGAAUAGGAAUACUAGGUGCUGUAAGCU